rnacentral:SRP_RNA from 1 species
GCACGGUAGUCUCAGCUACUCGGGAGCUGAGGUAGGAGGAUCGCUUGAGCCCAGGGGUUCUGGGCUGCAGUGCGCUGUGCGGAUGGGAUGUCUGUCCUAAAAGUUACUACGUUUGGAAUUGCUAGGGUGACCUCCCGGGCGCGGUCGACCACCAGGUUUUCUAAGGAGGUGUGAACGCACCCAGGUCAGACAGGAGCAGGCCAGAACUCCCCUGCCGAUCAGUAGUGGGAUCGCGCCUGUGAAUAGCCACUCUACUCCAGCCCGGCCACAGGAGGAGACCCGUCUCU